GGACCCGCACAAGUAGUGGAGCAUGUGGUUUAAUUCGAAGAUACGCGCAGAACCUUACCAACACUUGACAUGUUCGUCGCGACUUUAAGAGAUUAAAGUUUUCGGUUCGGCCGGACAGAACACAGGUGCUGCAUGGCUGUCGUCAGCUCGUGUCGUGAGAUGUUGGGUUAAGUCCCGCAACGAGCGCAACCCACAUCCCUAGUUGCCAGCAGUUCGGCUGGGCACUCUAUGGAAACUGCCCGUGAUAAGCGGGAGGAAGGUGUGGAUGACGUCAAGUCCUCAUGGCCCUUACGGGUUGGGCUACACACGUGCUACAAUGGUAGUGACAAUGGUUAAUCCCAAAAAGCUAUCUCAGUUC
rnacentral:rRNA from 1 species